UUUUCUUCAAAAUCUUCAGCCACAGUGCACAGGUUCUCAGGGUAAAAUGAGGGAUACAACGCGAUGAGAAAACAAUGUAUUAUUUUCUUACCUUCAAGUGUAACUGGAAGAUGCUGUGUUUUGACCAAUCCUGGUCUUUAUUUCUCCAAGUGAUUUUGCUUUCUCUGCUGGGAUGGCCUAAGUCAAUUACCCUUCUCUCCCUGAGGCGUUGUUUAUCUUCAUUCUUGGAAGAAAAGAAUUCAUAGUCUCCUCCAGCAAAAUUGCCAAUCUGCUUGAAACUAUUGCGCUUUCCAUGGAUACUGAAAUGCACUCUCCACGGGAGAUCUGGAGUUGAGGGUCAAGAUCACCUAUAAAUGUUGCCCAGGGAUUAUGCUCAGAAAAAUUCCUCCUUCCUUUAAGUUUUUGAGAAAGAACCUGAUUCGGACUUCUCUCUCAGCACCUCAGAUUGCCUGGGUAAUCAGGAUUUCAUGGAAAUGAAAAUUGGAGUGGUGUAAUGGCUAGAAAUUCAAACCCAGGAUGGACUAUCAGAAAUUGCUGAUAAGCUUUUACUGAGAAUAAAAUUUUACAGUUUAAAUGUUGGCCCUUUGGGAUCACUCAUCCAAUGCCCUCGUUUUAUUAAUGAGGAAAUCAAGGUCCAGAGAUAUGAGUGACAUGCCCAAAGUCUCGAUGUUAGAGUGGAAGAAAACCAUGAACUUGGACCUUCUCAUUCCUUUCCCAGUAUUGUGCCUGUAUUACUGUUCCAGUUUU
rnacentral:lncRNA from 1 species